UACGUAGGGGGCAGGCGUUAUCCGGAUUUACUGGGUGUAAAGGGAGCGUAGACGGCAAGGCAAGUCUGAUGUGAAAGGCGGGGGCUCAACUCCUGGACUGCAUUGGAAACUGUCAAGCUAGAGUGUCGGAGGGGUAAGCGGAAUUCCUGGUGUAGCGGUGAAAUGCGCAGAUAUCAGGAGGAACACCGGUGGCGAAGGCGGCUUACUGGACGGCAACUGACGUUGAGGCUCGAAAGCGUGGGGAGCAA
rnacentral:rRNA from 1 species